GACGAACGCUGACGGCGUGCCUAACACAUGCAAGUCGAGCGAGGAACUUCGGUUCCUAGCGGCGGACGGGUGAGUAACACGUGGGUAACCUGCCUUAUAGAGGGGGAUAGCCUUCCGAAAGGAAGAUUAAUACCGCAUAAAGUAUGGUAGUCGCAUGACUACAAUACUAAAGGAGCAAUCCGCUAUAAGAUGGACCCGCGGCGCAUUAGCUAGUUGGUGAGGUAACGGCUCACCAAGGCGACGAUGCGUAGCCGACCUGAGAGGGUGAUCGGCCACAUUGGAACUGAGAUACGGUCCAGACUCCUACGGGAGGCAGCAGUGGGGAAUAUUGCACAAUGGGCGAAAGCCUGAUGCAGCAACGCCGCGUGAGUGAUGAAGGCCUUCGGGUUGUAAAGCUCUGUCUUUUGGGACGAUAAUGACGGUACCAAAGGAGGAAGCCACGGCUAACUACGUGCCAGCAGCCGCGGUAAUACGUAGGUGGCAAGCGUUGUCCGGAUUUACUGGGCGUAAAGAAUGCGUAGGCGGAUAUUUAAGUGGGAUGUGAAAUACCCGGGCUCAACUUGGGUGCUGCAUUCCAAACUGGAUAUCUAGAGUGCGGGAGAGGAGAGUGGAAUUCCUAGUGUAGCGGUGAAAUGCGUAGAGAUUAGGAAGAACACCAGUGGCGAAGGCGACUCUCUGGACCGUAACUGACGCUGAGGCAUGAAAGCGUGGGGAGCAAACAGGAUUAGAUACCCUGGUAGUCCACGCCGUAAACGAUGGGUACUAGGUGUAGGAGGUAUCGACUCCUUCUGUGCCGCAGUUAACACAAUAAGUACCCCGCCUGGGGAGUACGGUCGCAAGAUUAAAACUCAAAUGAAUUGACGGAAGGGCGAAUUCUGCAGAUAUCCAUCACACUGGCGGCCG
rnacentral:rRNA from 1 species